UAGCAUAUCAAUAAGCGGAGGAAAAGAAACCAACAGGGAUUACCUCAGUAACGGCGAGUGAAGCGGUAACAGCUCAAAUUUGAAAUCUGGGUCUUUUAGGCUCCGAGUUGUAAUUUGUAGAAGAUGUUUCGGGUGCGGCACUGGUCUAAGUUCCUUGGAACAGGACGUCAUAGAGGGUGAGAAUCCCGUAUGUGAUCGGUUGCUUGCGCCCAUGUGAAGCUCUUUCGACGAGUCGAGUUGUUUGGGAAUGCAGCUCAAAAUGGGUGGUAAAUUUCAUCUAAAGCUAAAUAUUGGCCAGAGACCGAUAGCGCACAAGUAGAGUGAUCGAAAGAUGAAAAGCACUUUGGAAAGAGAGUUAAACAGUACGUGAAAUUGUUGAAAGGGAAGCGCUUGCGACCAGACUUGCGCGUUGUUGAUCAUCCGGGGUUCUCCCCGGUGCACUCGACCUCGCUCAGGCCAGCAUCGGUUUCGGUGGUUGGAUAAAGGCCUUGGGAAUGUAGCUUCUUUCGGGGAGUGUUAUAGCCCUCGGUGCAAUGCAGCCUACCGGGACCGAGGACCGCGCUUCGGCUAGGAUGCUGGCGUAAUGGUCGUAAGCGACCCGUCUUGAAACACGGACCAAGGAGUCUAACAUCUAUGCGAGUGUUUGGGUGUCAAACCCAUACGCGGAAUGAAAGUGAACGGAGGUGAGAACCCUUAAGGGUGCAUCACCGACCGGUCCUGAUGUCUUCGGAUGGAUCUGAGUAAGAGCAUAGCUGUUGGGACCCGAAAGAUGGUGAACUAUGCCUGAAUAGGGUGAAGCCAGAGGAAACUCUGGUGGAGGCUCGCAGCGGUUCUGACGUGCAAAUCGAUCGUCAAAUUUGGGUAUAGGGGCGAAAGACUAAUCGAACCAUCUAGUAGCUGGUUCCUGCCGA
rnacentral:rRNA from 1 species